rnacentral:snRNA from 1 species
AUGCUUGCUUCAGCACCACAUAUAAUAAAAUUGGAAUGAUAUGAAGAGAAUUAGCAUGGCUGCUGUGUAAGGAUGACAUGCAAAUUUAUGAAGCGUUCCGUAUUUUU